rfam:Oryza nivara chromosome 6, whole genome shotgun sequence.
AAAACGAUAAACCCUAGGUUUCCGUGUCCAAUAUUUGACUAUCCGUCUUAUAUGAAUUUUUUUUAUAAUUAGUAUCUUCAUUGUUGUUAGAUGAUAAAACAUGAUUAAUACUUUAUGACUUUUUUUUAAUUUUCUUUAUAUUUUUUUAAAUAAAACGGAUGGUAAAAUGUUAGAUACGG